rnacentral:rRNA from 1 species
UACGGAGGGUGCGAGCGUUAAUCGGAAUUACUGGGCGUAAAGCGCACGUAGGCGGUUCGUUAAGUCGGAUGUGAAAUCCCUGGGCUCAACCUGGGACCUGCAUUCGAUACUGGCGAGCUUGAGUACGAGAGAGGGGGGUGGAAUUCCAGGUGUAGCGGUGAAAUGCGUAGAUAUCUGGAGGAACAUCAGUGGCGAAGGCGGCCCCCUGGCUCGAUACUGACGCUGAGGUGCGAAAGCGUGGGGAGCAAAC